rnacentral:rRNA from 1 species
AGCGAACGCUGGCGGCAGGCUUAACACAUGCAAGUCGAACGCAUCACUUCGGUGGUGAGUGGCAGACGGGUGAGUAACACGUGGGAACGUACCCUUCGAUCUGGGAUAACUUCGGGAAACUGGAGCUAAUACCGGAUACGCCCUUUUGGGGAAAGGUUUACUGUCGAAGGAUCGGCCCGCGUCUGAUUAGCUAGUUGGUGGGGUAACGGCCUACCAAGGCGACGAUCAGUAGCUGGUCUGAGAGGAUGAUCAGCCACACUGGGACUGAGACACGGCCCAGACUCCUACGGGAGGCAGCAGUGGGGAAUAUUGGACAAUGGGCGCAAGCCUGAUCCAGCCAUGCCGCGUGAGUGAUGAAGGCCUUAGGGUUGUAAAGCUCUUUUGUCCGGGACGAUAAUGACGGUACCGGAAGAAUAAGCCCCGGCUAACUUCGU